rnacentral:rRNA from 1 species
UACGUAGGGUGCGAGCGUUAAUCGGAAUUACUGGGCGUAAAGCGUGCGCAGGCGGUUCGUCGUGUCCGAUGUGAAAGCCCCGGGCUCAACCUGGGAAUGGCAUUGGAAACUGGCGGACUCGAGUGUGGCAGAGGGGGGUGGAAUUCCGCGUGUAGCAGUGAAAUGCGUAGAUAUCAGGAGGAAUACCGAUGGCGAAGGCAGGUCUCUGGGCUGACACUGACGCUCAUGCACGAAAGCGUGGGGAGCAAACAGG